ACUCUCUCCAUAUAUAUCCUUCUUUCUUUCUGGCUGGCACGCUCUUUGACCAUUUUGUCCUCUUCGAAAUUUUCUCAACAUCUUCAUUCUUUUCUUUUAAUUUAUUUUGUUUUUGUAUGUUGCUUGCAAUACAUUGCAUAUUAUAUAGAGGAAAUUCAUUCAUAUUUAAUAUUGUCAUUACAGUUAUUCAUCCAUCAUUUUCUGUUUGUUGCCUUCUUUUGCACCUUGUAUCAUUGAUGAUCACAGUUAGCAUAGCAUCACAGAAAAUAAACAAGUCUUCUACUUUAAAAGUGAUUUUCUUUUUGAUCCUACUAAAUGGCCACGGGCACAAAUGGAGGAGGAUUUCCUAAAGCCAUCACAAAUGAAAAGGAUUUUAUAUUUUGAUUGUCAUGGAUAUUGAUUUUUUUUGCUGCAGGAUCAUUGUCUAGUUGAUUUGUUACACGGAUGGCAGGAUGGAAGACUUCCUGUAGAUAUAACUUGUGUAAUUAGGUUUUGCUUUAACACCCUUUACAGUCACUGAGGUUGUCCAUGAGUCCAAGCUCCUAAUCAAGUUGUGUCACAUCCUCACAACAAGCAUCACAUGCUAUCAUGAGCACUACAAGCUACAAAGAAGUGGGUGCAUGACGAAAUGGUGGAGCAGAACCAGAAGCAAAUUGCUCAUAGAAAAUCCAUUGAUACCUUUGGCCAGAGAACAUCUCAAUAUAGAGGUGUUACAAGGCAUAGGUGGACUGGUAGAUAUGAAGCUCAUCUAUGGAAUAAUAGUUGCAAGAAAGAGGGUCAGAGUAGGAAAGGAAGGCAAGAUUACUCCACUCAAAUAUACCAUGGAUCUCAGUUUAUCUAGGUAAGGUACUUUACUUCGCAGUCUUACAAAACAUAUUUUGCAGAGGCUUUGAUUGCAGAAGCAGAAGGCGACAAAGACAUCGUUCGUUGCAAUCCAUGCUGUAAUGGGACGUGGUACUGGCAUGAAUCUCUUCCUUCUUCGAUUCCCAACAAGAUGCUUUGAUGUGGGGAUAAAACAACAUGCUGUUACAUUUGCUGGAGGUCUAGCUUGUGAAGGUCUCAAGCCUUUCUGUGCAAUUUACUCACCAUUCAUGCAGAAGGCUUAUGACCAAGUGGUAGUGCAUGAUGGUAAGAUUUGCAAUGGAUAGAGCUAGAUUAUUUGGUGCAAAUGGCCCUACACAUUGUGGUUCUUUUGAUGUCACUUUUAUGGCAUGUCUUCCUAACAUGGUGGUGAUGGCUCUUUCUGCAAGGUUCAAUGCAAUUUCACUCUAUGUACAUGUUACUUCUAGAGAACAUAGUUCUGAAGACUUUCUUUCUUGCUGGAGUGACUUUGCAUUCAUAUUUUUAUUUUGAGAUUUUUAUGUUAUUAGAAUUUUGAUGAUAUUAAAAUAUUGAAAUUGUUGUUUUAUUUUACUUAAAAAAAAAACAGUAAUAAUUAUGUAGAAUAAUACUAUAUAUGUUUGGAACUAUUGACGUUGAGAAUUUUUUUAUAUUUAGAAUUA